rnacentral:rRNA from 1 species
GGUCAAGUUAUUAAGGGUGCAGGGCGGAUGCCUUGGCACUAGGAGCCGAUGAAGGACGUGAUAAGCUGCGAUAAGCUUCGGGGAGUUGCACGUAAACUUUGAUCCGAAGAUUUCCGAAUGAGGAAACUCACUUAGAGUAAUGUCUAAGUAUCAUUAAGUGAAUACAUAGCUUAAUGAGGGGAACUCAGGGAACUGAAACAUCUAAGUACCUGAAGGAAGAGAAAGAAAUUCGAUUCCGUAAGUAGCGGCGAGCGAACGCGGAUUAGCCCAAACCAAUAAAGUUUUCUUUAUUGGGGUUGCGGACAUAUCAUAACGAAGAGGUAUCGUAAUUGAAGAGGUUUGGAAAGACCCACCACAGAAGGUAAUAGUCCUGUAUGUUAAACGAGAAGACUUCAGAUAUGAUCCAGAGUACCACGGGACACGUGAAACCCUGUGGGAAGCAGGAGGGACCACCCUCCAAGGCUAAAUACUACCUAGUGACCGAUAGCGUAUAGUACCGUGAGGGAAAGGUGAAAAGAACCCCGGGAGGGGAGUGAAAUAGAACCUGAAACCCUGCACUUACAAGCUGUGGAAGCACAUUUCUUGUGUGACCGCGUACUUUUUGUAGAACGGGCCAACGAGUUACGUUAAGUAGCAAGGUUAAGCACUUAAGGUGCGGAGCCGUAGCGAAAGCGAGUUUUAACUGAGCGUUCAGUUACUUGACGUAGACCCGAAACCGGGCGACCUACCCAUGAGCAGGAUGAAGCGAAAGUAAAAUUUCGUGGAGGUCCGAACCCACGAGCGUUGAAAAGCUCGGGGAUGACUUGUGGGUAGCGGUGAAAUUCCAAUCGAGCCCGGAGAUAGCUGGUUCUCCCCGAAAUAGCUUUAGGGCUAGCCUCAAGGUGAGAGAUACGGAGGUAGAGCACUGAAUGUCCUAGGGGGUAUUGCACCUACCGAAGACUAUCAAACUCCGAAUGCCGUCAUCUUAUACUUGGGAGUCAGACUGUGGGUGAUAAGAUUCAUAGUCGAAAGGGCAACAGCCCAGAUCGUCAGCUAAGGUCCCUAAAUGUAAGUUAAGUGGUAAAGGAUGUGGGAUUGCACAGACAACCAGGAUGUUGGCUUAGAAGCAGCCACUCAUUCAAAGAGUGCGUAAUAGCUCACUGGUCGAGUGAUCCUGCGCCGAAGAUUUCCGGGGCUAAAACUUACUACCGAAGCUACGGCAUCA